ACCCAGUGUUGGGUUUGUGCCAACAUCUGCUACAUCACCUGACCCUCUGUUGAUCACCACUGCAACCAAUGUUGGGCAUAUGUCAACAACUGCUACAUCACCUGGCCCUCUGUUGAGCACCAAUGCACCUAGUGCUGGGUCUGUGUCAACACCUGCUACAUCACCUGACCCUCUGUUGACAACCACUGGACCCAGUGUUGGUCAUAUGUCAACAUCUGCUACAUCACCUGGUAAGAAAUCACCUCAUUCAGAAUCUGCCUAGAAUUGAGUCGUCACUCCCAGAGUUACUGAGUUAUAGAUCUCCGAGUUACUGAGUUACAACUCUCCGAGUUACUGAGUUACAGCUGUCAGAGUUACUGAGUCAC